rnacentral:lncRNA from 1 species
UCUACAGUUGAGUCCACUGUUGGUAGGGAAAAAAGUCUGCUUUGGGGAAUUUUGGCUUACAAUUUAUUAGAAUCCUUAAAAUCUACAGAAAUCUUUGGUUUAAAAUCAACAAGAGGCGAGAUGAGCUUUGAGGCCACUCCCAACCCCUUCCAUGAUUCCGUGGCCCUGCACCCCAAAAGAGAGCUCCUCCUUUACUAUGCAAGACUCAUCUUGUUCUUUGCUGGUUUUCUAACCUUCAAGAGUCACCAAAAUAGUGUUUUUACAGCACGUGAUUCACCUCAAUCUCUUUCGCUUCCCCUUUUCCUUCCUCCUCUGCUCUGCACCCAUUCCCACCUGAAUCCCGCCGGCUCCUCGCAGGAGUUCUGCUAUCGCCUUUUCCCCAGGGCGUUUUGACCCACUAUAAAAUAAAAUAAAUCCAUGACCACUCACGUUUCUUCCUCCUGAUGAAGAAACUGAGGCACGGGAAGGGGAAAUGAAGCCAAGACAAAAAAAUCCCCCAAGAUUUUACGGGAAGUUGGGACGGACUCUGGCUCCCAGUCAGCAUCUCUGCCUUUUCUCCCUGAAGAAUUUGCUAUUUAUAGCUCUGCUUUGCUCCUUUAGAACAUAAUCAAAACCAUCCUCCCUCCGUACGAGAACUCAUCUAGCGGCACUAACCCUCCCGGGGGAAAACUUCCCGAAAUUUGCAGUUCGGCCUCUGCAAACGGGAACCUUCCACCGGUGCGGACAGCGCAGGGAACACGCUCAGCCCGGCACUACUCCAGUCCCGGGCACAAGCCGGGCUCCCUCCCACGCCACCGAGAAGGUUGCUCGGCUCAAACCCCCCCCGGCUCAUUUCCUGCUUUCGCGGGGAAGGCUCCGCAGCGUCCCGCGGAGAAGGAGCGGCGCCGCUCCGGCAGCCGACACCCAGCGGAGGACGAUGAGGUUCUGCAUCGCGGUGCUCCUGGUCCUUCAAUCCCUGCCGGGGAAGGCAGAGCUCCAAGAUGACAUGGAGGAGAUCGCACAGGAUUUAUAUGACUACAUGGCUCAUUUAAGCAAUUACUAUUCUUCCACAGAAGAUUAUUACUAUGACAACAUCACAGCAACCCCUGCCACAUUCGUCUAUGAGUUUGAUUCCUACGAGGCAAACACCAUUGAGUAUGUGGAUUGGGAGAAGUUGUUUUCAGAAGAGAAUGCCACCACCGAGGUUUCAGAAGUACCAAACACAAAUGCUCCAGAGGAUUCCAGGGAUGCCAAGGACAGUCAGGAUUUCCAGGAGUCAUUUGGAUUGUCCCUGCAGGGCCACCUCACCCUCAUCAUCCUCCUCAGCUUCCUGGGUCUCCUGCUAUGAUGCCCAGACUCCUCCUCCAAAGGUACUCCGGGAUUUCAACACUCAAAGUGUGUCCUUGAACCCAGGGAAAUCCAAUUCUUUCUGAAGCAGCAACUUUCCAAAACAAUGGAAAGAUAACAAGCCUUUCCAGGCAGGUAACAGCCCAUCCAACUGUGGCAUCAGGGAACUCCCC